ACGGAUUCUAAUAGAACUAAAGGAUGUCGAGCAAAAAGCACCUUCAUUUCUACAUAACGGAAAGUGGUGGGUUUUGACAUCCACAGCUGAUCAUGUCCUUCAAGUCGCACGUUGCUUUCUACCACAUCGUUUCAAACGAAGUUUUACCAUAACAUUCCUCUAGUUUGGAGCAUUGAUUCAAUUAUGGAAUCAUGAAUAGUCAUUGGUUCAGUCGAUACAUAGUAAUCUAUCUAUACUUUCUAUAUGAAAUCAAUUUCCUUCUAUAUGCUAUAUGAAAUAAAUAAAUAAUUUAGGAAGAAAAAGCCUCAAUAAGAAUUCAAACUACCCCAUAUUGUAUGAUUGUCUGAAUGCAUGCAUAUUUUUUUAUUUUUUUAACUUUUAUUAUACUUUUCUAUUCUAAUUAAACUUUUCGAUUCUA
rnacentral:lncRNA from 1 species